rnacentral:lncRNA from 12 species
GGCUGUUCAUUUGUAAGGACUUUGAAAACAAGCAAACAGACGAUAAGCAAAACCAGAUUUAUCUUUCCAUAAAUCCAAGUUCAAGGGAAGCCUAUUGAUGAAGGAAUAGGCUGCACAAGGCUCAUGGCUCUUGUCCUGCUGAGGGACUUCAACAGCUGCAACAUCUGGG